GAUGAACGCUGACAGAAUGCUUAACGCAUGCAAGUCUUUGGCGAAGCUGUGCUUGCACAGCCUAGCCAAGGCGGACGGGUGAGUAACGCGUAAGGAACUUGCCCUGCAGUCAGGGAUAACAGACGGAAACGACUGAUAAGACCUGGUAAAGUCAGGCGGACUCAUGUCCAGCCUGAUGAAAAGAGAUGCUGCAGGGGAGCCUUGCGUCCUAUUAGCUUGUUGGUGGGGUAACGGCCCACCAAGGCGAUGAUAGGUAGCCGGCCUGAGAGGGUGGACGGCCACAAGGGGACUGAGAUACGGCCCUUACUCCUACGGGAGGCAGCAGUGGGGAAUAUUGGACAAUGGGGGCAACCCUGAUCCAGCAAUUCUGUGUGCACGAUGAAGGUUUUCGGAUUGUAAAGUGCUUUCAGCAGGGAAGAAAAAAAUGACGGUACCUGCAGAAGAAGCGACGGCUAAAUACGUG
rnacentral:rRNA from 1 species